rnacentral:piRNA from 1 species
AUUGUUUUUAAUAGCUGAG